GCAUAUCAAUAAGCGGAGGAAAAGAAACCAACAGGGAUUGCCCUAGUAACGGCGAGUGAAGCGGCAACAGCUCAAAUUUGAAAUCUGGCGCAAGCCCGAGUUGUAAUUUGUAGAGGAUGCUUCUGGGUAGCGACCGGUCUAAGUUCCUUGGAACAGGACGUCAUAGAGGGUGAGAAUCCCGUAUGUGACCGGCCCGCACCCUUUACGUAGCUCCUUCGACGAGUCGAGUUGUUUGGGAAUGCAGCUCUAAAUGGGAGGUAAAUUUCUUCUAAAGCUAAAUACCGGCCAGAGACCGAUAGCGCACAAGUAGAGUGAUCGAAAGAUGAAAAGUACUUUGGAAAGAGAGUUAAAAAGCACGUGAAAUUGUUGAAAGGGAAGCGCCUGCAAUCAGACUUCGCGGCAGUGUUCCGCCGGCCUUCUGGCCGGUUCAUUCUCUGUCGCGAGGCCAUCAUCGUCUCGGCCCGCUGGAUAAGACCUUGGGAAUGUAGCUCACCUUCGGGGGAGUGUUAUAGCUCAUGGUGAUGCAGCGAGGCUGGGGCGAGGUCCGCGCUUCGGCAAGGAUGAUGGCGUAAUGGUUGUCGGCGGCCCGUCUUGAAACACGGACCAAGGAGUCUAACAUCUAUGCGAGUGUUCGGGUGUCAAACCCCUACGCGUAAUGAAAGUGAACGGAGGUGGGAACCGCAAGGUGCACCAUCGACCGAUCCUGAUGUCCUCGGAUGGAUUUGAGUAAGAGCAUAGCUGUUGGGACCCGAAAGAUGGUGAACUAUGCCUGAAUAGGGUGAAGCCAGAGGAAACUCUGGUGGAGGCUCGCAGCGGUUCUGACGUGCAAAUCGAUCGUCAAAUUUGGGUAUAGGGGCGAAAGACUAAUCGAACCAUCUAGUAGCUGGUUCCUG
rnacentral:rRNA from 1 species